CUCCCAAAGCUUUCUUUCCAACAUUUCACUAAAUUUCUGUCACUCCGUCAGUGAGAAUAUUUACUUGUCAGUGGAUGAGAGAAUGAUUUUUUCCCCCUUACCUCUUCCCAUUCCCACUUUUCUUCAGGUUACUGCUGAAAUGUUCAAUUGUUUUUACUUCAGAAUUCUCUGCACUCACUCUUUAAACCCCGCUUUAGCAUCACAGAUGUAAUUUCUGCUGCACGGGCAAUGUGUGUUAUGGUAAUGAUAUCAAAUGUGACUAGGUGGCGACUGGAACCGCCCGUUACUCAUUUCAUGAGGGAAACCACAGAGGUAUCUUUAUCAGGCUCUGCUUUCACAAAAGAAGCUGCUGUAGCAGAGGUCUGCCCCCCAUCAUCAUUUUAACCAAAGCAGGACUCGCCAUUGGCCCAGCAGUGUACGGGUUCCAUGACGACUAUGCGUCUCACACUCACCCAGGCAGCGCAGAGUGAAGUGCGUGAAGUUGGGACUGAAAUCGGCUUGAAAAAAGUGGCAGCCCUCGAGGAGUUUACAUGUGAUGCACUGCCGUUGAAAUGCUCCUUCCACGUGCACACUUUUAAACAAGAAGAAAAGCAUUCAGACUCACACGGUCACUCCAACUAUACACACAUUCAUAUUACUGCUUUUGUUUACAUCUUAACACUGUGGCGCGGCACGAAAUAAAUCUGGAAGUAAACUGAGA